AUUGAACGCUGGCGGCAUGCCUUACACAUGCAAGUCGAACGGCAGCACGGGUGCUUGCACCUGGUGGCGAGUGGCGAACGGGUGAGUAAUACAUCGGAACAUGUCCUGCAGUGGGGGAUAGCCCGGCGAAAGCCGGAUUAAUACCGCAUACGAUCUACGGAGGAAAGCGGGGGACCUUCGUGCCUCGCGCUAUAGGGUUGGCCGAUGGCUGAUUAGCUAGUUGGGGGGGUAAAGGCCUACCAAGGCGACGGUCAGGAGCCGGUCGGAGAGGACGACCAGCCACACUGGGAGUGAGACACGGCACAGACUCCUACGGGAGGCGGCAGUGGGGAAUUUUGGGCAAUGGGCGAAAGCCUGAUCCAGAAAUGCCGCGGGUGUGAAGAAGGCCUUCGGGUUGUAGAGCACUUUUGUCCGGAAAGAAAUCCUUGGCCCUAAUACGGUCGGGGGGAUGACGGUACCGGAAGAAUAAGCACCGGCUAACUACGUG
rnacentral:rRNA from 1 species